GGAGCAGCUGUUCACUUUUGAAUGUUGUGGCCUUUGUAGCUGACUAUUACAAUGUGACUUUUUCUCACUUAUAUUUUAUUCAUUUGUUUAUUUUAACUUUUGUAGGAUCAAUUAGACGUACCAACAUUUAUGAUAGAUUUUCUGAAAUGCAGAUUAAAAUGGAGAAUGGAAAUGGGGAUUUUAAAGAAGAAUAUAAGCUUAGAAAGGACUACAACCAUCCUGGAAGAGCAAAUUUUAUGAAGGUAUUUAUUAUUUAAAAUCCUCCAUCUACAUUACAUUUGCGCAAAAAUAUACAAUAACCAUUACGAAACUUUUAUUUCUUUGUGAGACCAAGAAAAUGUUACAGGUUCUUCAUGGCUGGCUACUCUUUAUAGUUGAGAAAACUAUAGUGUACAUUAUACAUGUCUUAUUUUAAAAACUGGUGAAAUCUACCGUUACACUUGUUUAAUAAUUAAAAAAAACUCUAGAUGUAUAAAAUAGCUACAUAUGUUGCUUCACAAUUCAUUGACACUGAUAAGUUGACACUUUUUACUAUUUUUUUGUAAAACCACUGGAUUUAAUGAAGAGAAAAAGUUUAUUGUGUAAUUUUGAUUAAAUUAACUGAAGCUCCACUUGUUUAAUCAAUAAACUGAAGGACUAAUUUGUUUACACUUUAUUUCACAGAAGCCAGCAGAUGUCAAAGGAAAUAAAAAGAAUGGAACAAUGGAAACUUUGAAAAAGAACAGUGAUAUGAAAAUAUUGAAUAAAUGUUUUGCAUUUAUAAUUGUAAUUCUAUCUUGUAUAGUGUUGACAAACUAUUUAUAAGGCAGCAAAGAAAACAGUUAAUAAACUAUGCAAAAAAAAUGUCUGACUGUACAUGUGAUCAAACAUGAGAUCAAGAAAUACUUCUCAAAAAAUGCACAAAGAUAUUUAAAAUCAGAAAAAAAGAAUACCUUUCUGUAAGUAAAACCAUGACAAACUAUAAAAUAUAACGUGUUCAAUGAAUACAAAAAAUAGGGUUAUGUCAAUGAGACAUCAACCUGACAAAAGUAAACAAAAUAUAUGUUGAUUCCACUGUAAUCAACAAACAAUUGUAAAAGGAAAUGUGGGGUAAAGAUCAGUGUGACAGCAGUUGUUUUUCAGAUGCAGAUCUAGGAUUAUGAGAAAAGUGGCCACAGGCUCUAAACUAAACAAAGUUGGAGUGAAAUAGUUGGAAUUAGAUAAACCAUAAUUAUAGCUCGAUAAGGGGACCCAGGAUCCCCCCCAU
rnacentral:lncRNA from 1 species